rnacentral:rRNA from 1 species
GAUGAACGCUGACAGAAUGCUUAACACAUGCAAGUCGAUGGGGAAGUGGUGCUUGCACCAUGGCAACCAUGGCGGACGGGUGAGUAACGCGUAAGGGACUUACCUGCAGGACUGGGAUAACAGGGGGAAACUCCUGACAAGACCGGAUAAUGUCAUGGAGCUGCAUGGCUUUAUGAUGAAAGGAGACGCCUGCGGAGAGCCUUGCGUCCUAUUAGCUAGUUGGUGAGGUAAUGGCUCACCAAGGCGAAGAUAGGUAGCCGGCCUGAGAGGGUGGACGGCCACAAGGGGACGGAGAUACCGACCUUACUCCUACGGGAGGCAGCAGUGGGGAAUAUUGGACAAUGGGGGCAACCAUGAUCCAGCAAUUCUGUGUGGACGAAGAAGGUUUUCGGAUUGUAAAGUGCUUUCAGCAGGGAAGAAGUAAGUGACGGUACCUGCAGAAGAAGCGACGGCUAAAUACGUG